rnacentral:misc_RNA from 1 species
GAUGAAGAACGUAGCGAAAUGCGAUACUUGGUGUGAAUUUCAGAAUCCCGUGAACCAUCGAGUCUUUGAACGCAAGUUGCGCCCGAAGCCAUCAGGUUGAGGGCACGUCUGCCUGGGCGUCACAUAUCGUUGCCCAAUGCCUAUUGCAGUGCAAUAGGAAUUUCUAGGGCGAAUGAUGGCUUCCCGUGAGCGUUGUUGCCUCGCGGUUGGUUGAAAAUCGAGUCCUUGGUAGGGUGUGCCAUGGUAGAUGGUGGUCGAGUUAGAACGAUACCGAUCAUGUGCAUGCUCCCCAAAAUAUGGCCUCUAUGACCCACACGCGUCUUUUGACGCUCAUGACGAGACCUCAGGUCAGGCGGGGCUACCCGCUGAAUUUAAGCAUAUCAAUAAGCGGAGGA